rfam:Astyanax mexicanus Tnplaced_Scaffold3570, whole genome shotgun sequence.
GACUUAUCUGUAGCAGUGUCUGCAAUAACUA